GUGAAAUUGUUGAAAGGGAAACGAUUAAAGUCAGUCAUGUUGGUAGGGAAUCAACUUGAUAGUUUGCGGGUUUACUCGUGUUCUUUCGAGUGCACUUCCUUACUUGCUAGUUAGCAUCAAUUUUGGUUAUCAUAUAAAAAUUAAGGGAAGGUGGCUUUUCUUCGGAAAAGUGUUAUAGACCUUGAUUAAUGUGGUGACCGGGAUUGAGGAUUGCAGCGGAUACCCUUUUGGGCUAGUCACCUUGCUUCUGAUGGUUACCCCAUCAACGUUAGCAUGCUAACGUUGAUGGGAUGUAAUUGUCUAGAUGUUGGAGUGAUCAUAAAUUCGCUAAGGAUGCUGACGUAAUGGCUUUAAACGAC
rnacentral:rRNA from 1 species